rnacentral:rRNA from 1 species
UUGGGUACGCGGAGGGACAUUACCGAGUUUACAACUCCCAAACCCCUGUGAACAUACCAAUUGUUGCCUCGGCGGAUCAGCCCGCUCCCGGUAAAACGGGACGGCCCGCCAGAGGACCCCUAAACUCUGUUUCUAUAUGUAACUUCUGAGUAAAACCAUAAAUAAAUCAAAACUUUCAACAACGGAUCUCUUGGUUCUGGCAUCGAUGAAGAACGCAGCAAAAUGCGAUAAGUAAUGUGAAUUGCAGAAUUCAGUGAAUCAUCGAAUCUUUGAACGCACAUUGCGCCCGCCAGUAUUCUGGCGGGCAUGCCUGUUCGAGCGUCAUUUCAACCCUCAAGCCCUCGGGUUUGGUGUUGGGGAUCGGCGAGCCCUUGCGGCAAGCCGGCCCCGAAAUCUAGUGGCGGUCUCGCUGCAGCUUCCAUUGCGUAGUAGUAAAACCCUCGCAACUGGUACGCGGCGCGGCCAAGCCGUUAAACCCCCAACUUCUGAAUGUUGACCUCGGAUCAGGUAGGAAUACCCGCUGAACUUAAGCAUAUCAUAGCGGGGAAGAAA